GACAGAGGAUGCAAGCGUUAUCCGGAAUGAUUGGGCGUAAAGCGUCUGUAGGUGGCUUUUUAAGUUCGCCGUCAAAUCCCAGGGCUCAACCCUGGACAGGUGGUGGAAACUACCAAGCUAGAGUACGGUAGGGGCAGAGGGAAUUUCCGGUGGAGCGAUGAAAUGCGUUGAUAUCGGAAGGAACGCCGGUGGCGAAAGCGACACACUGGAUCUCUUCUGACGCUGAGGCGCGAAAGCCAGGAGAGCAAACGGG
rnacentral:rRNA from 1 species